AGUUUGACAGAGCACUUUUCAGUUGGCCGCCUACCACCCACCCGCCUGCUGCGAUUGCUUUUUUUUGUUUACGUGGGUGUCGGGUUUCUUUUUAAUUUUUCCUGAUGUUUAAUUUUUGUCAGUACAAGUAGUUUUGCAACUGUCGAAUUAAUUAUUCUUCUGCUUCUCCUGUCGCGCUUCACGGUAGUUUUUGUGUGAUUGUUGUUUGUGUCUGAAAAUCCGGGUAAUGAAGGAGCAAAUCCGGACAAAUGCGAUCACGUUGUAACCGUUGUUAAGAGGAACCUGAGCCUCAAGUCGCAUCUUAUCAGCAGUGGUAUCUGUGGGGGAGUUCCAAAUCAGCGUGGGCAAAAACAUUCUGGAGUCAGAAUCGGCUGGCUGGCUGUUUUGGUGUUGCUGUCGCUACCAGGUUUCACCGCGGCUCAGCUGGUAACCUCAAAUGUUCUGUAAAUCCUGCCUCAACAGUCAACCGUCGCCAUCUGGACGUAUUAUAUUCAAUCCGUUUCAUUUGAAACCGGCUAUAGUCGCGUUCCGGCGAACGGCCAACGUGUACGUGGCUGAUAACUCUGCUGCUCGAGGCUGUGGUCUAGGGAAAAGCUGGAGUUAUUGAUAACGCACAGCGCUGAAGCUUCCAAAAAACCGCAACGAAUCAUCUGGAUUAAGAUCAGACGACUAGGUCGUGUCGAUCUACUGCUGGACGCCGUAACUUGGUCUGCCAUUUAGUUGCUAUUGUCAGGUCAUCCGACGUUACAUGGCGGCUCCGAAGUGUUGCACUCUGUUAUGCUCGUUGCUUCUCGCCCACGACGCCGAUCCAUUUGUCGGGGACCUCAAAUACUUGCAGCAAUGACUACACUACUCAGUUGGUUUUAGUUCCACAGUUGCAGCUCUCGGUUUGAUGUUGACAAUAGUCCAAGGUUCUGAUUCAAGCAAAGCCGGCGUGGGAUUGCAUGCUUCAGCUGGUCAUCUGUGACCGCCUCUCGCACAAGUCUGUAAUUGGAGCAUUUCAUUGGACCACCUGGAGUGCAAACAGAUCAUGAUGGACAUCCUCGCCCAAAUGGGGUACGCACAUCUGCAACAGGUGGACGUGUCGGCUGAAGGCUUUCGUAUCAACUUAAUUCCAACAUUGUUUUCAUAAAUGUAAGCAAUCAAUGUUAUUUAUUUCUUUUAAAAUCCCGCAGAGCUAAAAUCACAAUCUACAUUCUCAGUGAGCCAGCA